rnacentral:rRNA from 1 species
GAGUGCGAUCAUACCAGCACUAAUGCAUCAGAUACCAUCAGAACUCUGCAAUUAAGCGUGCUUGGACGAGAGUAGUACUAGGAUGGGUGACCUCCUUGGAAGUACUUGUGUUUUACCCC